GAUUUGAGUUUCCUUUAUUCUUCCCUGGUGGCUAGACUCAGCUUAAGCGUCCUGGAUGAGAGCAUCGCAUAGGUGACACUGCGAGCCCCCUGGGGGAAACAAAGGCUCAGAGAGAGGGAGUGACACGGUCACCACUGCUGGGCCUGGCUCCCACCCGCGGCUGCGGGGGCUCCGGUGGGUGGGUGCUGUCCGCCACCCGCAGGCCUGGGUGGCAGGGCUCCCACAGGGGGUUCCAGCCAGCCACUCAUCGCUCUGUCCCUUUCGUGGACUCGGGGCUCCUUGAAGUGUCAGCUUUUGCUUCGUCUGUGCGCUGGCUCGGGAGCCAGCAGGGAGCAGAGGGCCUGGGCAGCUGGCAGGACAGAAUGGGGCGCCCACGGAGCUCGUCAAGCUGCUCCCGAGGCCCUUGGUCCUCAGACAAAGUGGGGCUCAGGCCCGAGCUCCCGGAAGGGCUGGGGGUGGAGCAGCCAGAGUCCAGGCUGGAAUCUGCACAUCCUUUUCCUGGGAAGUGUCUCCAGAUGGAUGCAAGGGGUCCGGGCCGAGGCCCCCCGGGUGUCCUCAAGGUGGAGCCUCCCACCUCCCCCACCUCCACGGCCCUGGCUGCCUCCAGGCCCCAGCGCUGUGUGGUGAGGCGUGAGCCCCUUGCCCUCAGAAGCUGCCUAGCCCGGGAAGCUGGGUCAGCUGUCUGGCUUGGGGCCAUGGGCACAGUCUCAGGCAAGGGGGUGGGCUGGGGGGACCAUCAGGUGUCCUGCUGGGAUGACGACUUUAAUUAAUGUGCAAUAUGUCCUGUCUUGGACAAAGACGACCCAGCCAGACAGGUCUGGUUCACAGUCUGCUGUGUGGCCUUGGGCAAGAGAGUGAACCUCUCUGUGCCUCUCGUCUUCAUCUUUAACGUUCUAAGGCUAUAAGGGAGCGGAGGGUGAGGAACCAGCUUCUUUCUCUUCCUUCUCCUCUCCCUCCUUCCCCAUGUCCUGUGUCCUUGGGACCCAGGAGUCUGGCUGUCCCCAUAGGGCGCCAGGCCUGGCCUGAGGGCCAGCGGAAGCCCACUAAGCCCAAGGAGGGGUCUUUCCCAGCCAGGUGGGCGGGGAGGCCCCAUUCGGCUGGGGCAGCGGGCCACAAGCGGGUUCCAUGGCGACAAGUGAGGCCUGUCCCUGUCCUCCUCUCCCCGCCCCUCCCCCAAGCACAUCCCAGCUCCUCCGGCUUCAUUCUGGCCUCGGUUCACCAGCACUGAGAUGCUGGGGUGGGUGGUAGGUGGGGGGUGGACUGCGCUCCAGGGCCCCUCUAUGCCCCUGCCUUUGUCAAGGAGGGGGGCGUCUUUCCUGUGUCCCUUGUGCGCUUGGUCACUGCAAGGAACAGGCCAGCGAGGCCACCCCCACCUCCCCCAACCCCGUCCGUCUGCCUGGGGGUUUGCUCUGCUCUCUGAUUCUCCAAAGAAAAUUGACAGGUGGAGCCAGCAAGGUCAGCUCUGCCACCAACAGGUGUGUGGACCCUCAAAGGGCCACGGACAUCUUCUUUGUGCCCAGCGAGAGAUCACCAUCCGUCCGUCUGUCCAGGAUUCAGUCAACGAAACGUUUCGCGCGUGAAGCGUGCAGCUCAGCUUUGCUCCCAUCACUGACCCUGCAGCCUGUCCAGGUCCCCGGGGCCAUCGCCGGACUGUGGGAGUCAGACCACCUGGGUACUUGCUGGUCAUCUCCAGCGCGGGGUGUCCACAGGGGCUCCUGGGGACACCCCACGCUGUGCUGAGGUGCUGCCGGGGACCUGGCCAUCAGGCGCUUCAGCCUCGCCGCUCCUGGGGAUGCAGGGGCUGUUUGCCUGAGGGUCCGCCCAGCCCCAACACGACAAGGCCGGAGCUCUAGAUCCGUGGGCACAGUGCCCCUUCAUGGGGGGGGCGCGUCCCGGGAGCAAAGUCCCCAAGCGCGAGGCACCCUCUGCCUUGGGUAUCCUGGCCCAUUGUCUCCUAAGAAGAGCUUCCAAGCAGGGGAGGGGGUCCUGGUCCCCCACCGGCCCCCAUGGCCGCCCUCCUCUGCCUCUCCUUCCAAGGCCCCCAAGGGCCACUUCCCGCCACAGGUCUCCAAGAAUGCGGCCAGGGCACCCCUUCCCUCACCCCUAUUGUGUAAGGGACCCCAGCUGGAGGCGCCCCAGAGGAUGCCGUGGGACCCAGCCACACCCCAAGAGACCCUGGUGGAGGGUGCAGGGGUGCUUCAGACCCUCCCAAAGCACCCCCCACCUGCCGUCUCUGCACCCAGCAGUGGGGUGCCAAACCCUUCAAUUGUGUGAGGGACCCACAGCCCCGGCAGAUAUGUUCAUGCUAAUGGUUUUCAGACCCCCCCUGCACCCUGGCCCCCUCUUCCCAGCUGGCAGGCAUAGCCGUCAUGUGCAUGGCCGAGAAAAUUAUUAAUUCCCAUCCGUCAAGUUCACUUCUGGGAAAGUUUGCCAAUUAACUUGCAAGGUGCAAGAAUGAAAGGGGGAGGUGCCCAGAGGGAAAGGCAGAGGGAGGCAGGGGCCUGGGACAGUCCUUGCGGGGGUGGGGGGGCAUCGGGUGUGGAGUCCAUGCUCCUCAGGAGUUUGGGGGGCGAGGAGGAGCCAGGGCUGCUCCCCAAACCCCACGUGCCUGUGGCAGCGAGAAGAGGGAGGGGCAAAGCUGCAGGAUGCAUGCGUGCGUGGAGCCGUGUGUGUGUGUGUGUGUGUGUGUGUGUGUGUGUGUGUGUUAUGGGGGGCAGGGGGCAGGCUGGGCAGGCAGCCCUGGCUCGGACAGUGUCCACUAGUGGCCGACAAAGCUGGCGGUCUGGCGCUGAGUCUGAAAAGCAGGAGCGGGUGGCCAGGGCUACUGUGCCCGCCAGGCUUUCAGGUGCUCCAGUCCCAGCUCUGCUCCUUCAGGCACGUCCUUCCCCCUUUUCGGGGUGAAACCAGCCCCUCCACCUUCGAGGCUGGAUUCCAAACUCUCCCGCAGGCGUGCCCACCCCUCCAGCGGCUGCGGCUGGGCUGGGGAUGUGGCUGCCACCCUCAGGGCUCUCCAGGUGCCCGAGGUCUGCCUGUGGGCUGGGGGAGGGAGCGGGAGGAAACCAGAGAGACGCACCUGCGGGGGCUGUCUGGGCCCUCAGGCCUCGGCGGUGCAUAUGGUGCCCUGGCUUCGCACAGGGCGCGCUGGGACGGGACAGCUGGACCGUCCAGAGGCUGCAGAACCGACAUCUGAUCCCCACACGAGGUUGGGAGGAGGCGGAGGGCGCCGCGGCCGGGCACCUGAUUCCAGGGAGUCUCCAAAGGCCACGGGCUGGAUGCUGCUGGACCCGAGGAACCUGCCCAGCUGCACGCGAGGCGGCCUGGGGGCAGCGGCUGUGCCCAAGGUCCCAGGCUCCCAGGAGACAGUCCUGCCCGGCAGGCUUCCGGACGGAUGGACGGCUCGGGAAUGCUCUGGUCCCCUCUGCAGCCGCCGGGGACAGAAGGGCAAGGCCUC
rnacentral:lncRNA from 1 species